AUUGCGUGUACAGACAUAUUUAAGGGAAGUUUGUAAUGAUUUCCCUAAAUUAGCGUGCAUUGAAUGAUGGGAGAGAAAACGGUUUCCUUUUGCACGCCUCAACUGCUGUAACUGCUAUGCUUCUUCAUGCAGGCAAAUUCCCAAUUUGCCCCUUAAAACUUCAAAUUGAUUAGCAUCAAGCGCCUUUGUAAAAAUGUCAGCUAGCUGUUCACUUGUACCAAUGUGCUUGAGUUCCACACAAUUUUCU
rnacentral:lncRNA from 1 species